rnacentral:rRNA from 1 species
CAGCAGUAGCCGCGGUAACACGGAGGGUGCAAGCGUUAUCCGGAUUUAUUGGGUUUAAAGGGUCCGUAGGCGGACUUAUAAGUCAGUGGUGAAAGCCUGUCGCUUAACGAUAGAACUGCCAUUGAUACUGUAAGUCUUGAGUAUAUUUGAGGUAGCUGGAAUAAGUAGUGUAGCGGUGAAAUGCAUAGAUAUUACUUAGAACACCAAUUGCGAAGGCAGGUUACCAAGAUAUAACUGACGCUGAGGGACGAAAGCGUGGGUAGCGAACAGGAUUAGAGACCCCUGUAGUCCCUGUCUCUUAUAC